rnacentral:sRNA from 1 species
UACGCGAUGCCGAAGUCGGGUCGCGUAAAAAAUCCAACUCGCUGAUGUUUAGGAGAUGUAACCAUGACU